UCCCCCAGUAGCGGCGAGCGAACGGGGAGGAGCCCAGAGCCUGAAUCAGUGUGUGUGUUAGUGGAAGCGUCUGGAAAGGCGUGCGAUACAGGGUGACAGCCCCGUACACAAAAAUGCACAUAUUGUGAGCUCGAUGAGUAGGGCGGGACACGUGGUAUCCUGUCUGAAUAUGGGGGGACCAUCCUCCAAGGCUAAAUACUCCUGACUGACCGAUAGUGAACCAGUACCGUGAGGGAAAGGCGAAAAGAACCCCGGCGAGGGGAGUGAAAAAGAACCUGAAACCGUGUACGUACAAGCAGUGGGAGCCUCUUAAUGGGGUGACUGCGUACCUUUUGUAUAAUGGGUCAGCGACUUAUAUUCUGUAGCAAGGUUAACCGAAUAGGGGAGCCGAAGGGAAACCGAGUCUUAACUGGGCGUUAAGUUGCAGGGUAUAGACCCGAAACCCGGUGAUCUAGCCAUGGGCAGGUUGAAGGUUGGGUAACACUAACUGGAGGACCGAACCGACUAAUGUUGAAAAAUUAGCGGAUGACUUGUGGCUGGGGGUGAAAGGCCAAUCAAACCGGGAGAUAGCUGGUUCUCCCCGAAAGCUAUUUAGGUAGCGCCUCGUGAAUUCAUCUCCGGGGGUAGAGCACUGUUUCGGCAAGGGGGUCAUCCCGACUUACCAACCCGAUGCAAACUGCGAAUACCGGAGAAUGUUAUCACGGGAGACACACGGCGGGUGCUAACGUCCGUCGUGAAGAGGGAAACAACCCAGACCGCCAGCUAAGGUCCCAAAGUCAUGGUUAAGUGGGAAACGAUGUGGGAAGGCCCAGACAGCCAGGAUGUUGGCUUAGAAGCAGCCAUCAUUUAAAGAAAGCGUAAUAGCUCACUGGUCGAGUCGGCCUGCGCGGAAGAUGUAACGGGGCUAAACCAUGCACCGAAGCUGCGGCAGCGACACUAUGUGUUGUUGGGUAGGGGAGCGUUCUGUAAGCCUGUGAAGGUGGCCUGUGAGGGUUGCUGGAGGUAUCAGAAGUGCGAAUGCUGACAUAAGUAACGAUAAAGCGGGUGAAAAGCCCGCUCGCCGGAAGACCAAGGGUUCCUGUCCAACGUUAAUCGGGGCAGGGUGAGUCGACCCCUAAGGCGAGGCCGAAAGGCGUAGUCGAUGGGAAACAGGUUAAUAUUCCUGUACUUGGUGUUACUGCGAAGGGGGGACGGAGAAGGCUAUGUUGGCCGGGCGACGGUUGUCCCGGUUUAAGCGUGUAGGCUGGU
rnacentral:rRNA from 1 species